AGAGUUUGAUCCUGGCUCAGAACGAACGCUGGCGGCGUGGAUAAGACAUGCAAGUCGAACGCUGAUUGACGGGUAGCAAUAUUCGUCAGUCGGAGUGGCGCAAGGGUGCGUAACACGUGGGUAAUUUGCCAUGAAGCCCGGAAUAACUCGCUGAAAGGCGAGCUAAUACCGGAUGUGACGUUUGGGAGGCAUCUCCUGAACUUUAAAGCUGGGGACCGUAAGGCCUGGCACUUCUUGAUAAGCCCGCGGCCUAUCAGCUAGUUGGUGAGGUAACGGCUCACCAAGGCUAAGACGGGUAGCUGGUCUGAGAGGACGACCAGCCUCACUGGAACUGAGAUACGGUCCAGACACCUACGGGUGGCAGCAGUCGAGAAUUUUUCACAAUGGGCGAAAGCCUGAUGGAGCGACGCCGCGUGGGGGAUGAAUGGCUUCGGCCCGUAAACCCCUGUCAUUUGCGAACAAACCUUGUCAUUUAACAGACGACAAGCUGAUUGUAGCGGAAGAGGAAGGGACGGCUAACUCUGUGCCAGCAGCCGCGGUA
rnacentral:rRNA from 1 species